GGCAUAGCUCAGUGGUACAGCAUCUGCCCUGCAUGCAGAAAGCCCGAGAUUUGAUCCCUGGCAUUUCCA